rnacentral:lncRNA from 1 species
AAGUCUGGGGCCAUUCCGAGUCCGGCGGACGAACUUCGCCCACGCCCCCCACCAAGGCUAUAGCCCACCCGUUUUUUGGCCAUUUUUCCGCUGGGGGGUUUUGGCACCACGACCUUCGCGCGCUUAUUUCUGGGCGCGGCUUUGCCCGCGGCUUAUUUUUGGCACCCCGAGGCCCCUCGCAAAGUCUCGCCCCAUUCCGAGUCCGGCGGACGAACUUCGCCCGCGCCCCCCACCAAGGCUAUAGCCCACCCGUUUUUUGGCCAUUUUUCCGCUGGGGGGUUUUGGCACCACGACCUUCGCGCGCUUAUUUCUGGGCGCGGCUUUGCCCGCGGCUUAUUUUUGGCACCCCGAGGCCCCUCGCAAAGUCUCGCCGCAUUCCGAGUCCGGCGGACGAACGUCGCCCGCGCCCCCCACCAAGUCUAUAGCCCACCCGUUUUUUGGCCAUUUUUCCGCUCGGGGGUUUUGGCACCACGACCUUCGGGCGCUUAUUUUUGGGCGCGGCUUUGCCCGCGGCUUAUUUUUGGCACCCCGAGGCCCCUCGCAAAGUCUCGCCCCAUUCCGAGUCCGGCGGACGAACUUCGCCCGCGCCCCCCACCAAGGCUAUAGCCCACCCGUUUUUUGGCCAUUUUUCCGCUGGGGGGUCUUGGCGCCCCGACCUUCGGGGGCUGAUUUUUGGGCGCGGGUGUGCCCGUGGCCUAUUUUUGGCACACGGAGGCCGCCCGCAAAGUCUGGGGCCAUUCCGAGUCCGGCGGACGAACUUCGCCCACGCCCCCCACCAAGGCUAUAGCCCACCCGUUUUUUGGCCAUUUUUCCGCUGGGGGGUCUUGGCGCCCCGACCUUCGGGGGCUGAAUUUUGGGCGCGGGUGUGCCCGUGGCCUAUUUUUGGCACACGGAGGCCGCCCGCAAAGUCUGGGGCCAUUCCGAGUCCGGCGGACGAACUUCGCCCACGCCCCCCACCAAGGCUAUAGCCCACCCGUUUUUUGGCCAUUUUUCCGCUGGGGGGUCUUGGCGCCCCGACCUUCGGGGGCUGAAUUUUGGGCGCGGGUGUGCCCGUGGCCUAUUUUUGGCACACGGAGGCCGCCCGCAAAGUCUGGGGCCAUUCCGAGUCCGGCGGACGAACUUCGCCCACGCCCCCCACCAAGGCUAUAGCCCACCCGUUUUUUGGCCAUUUUUCCGCUGGGGGGUCUUGGCGCCCCGACCUUCGGGGGCUGAAUUUUGGGCGCGGGUGUGCCCGUGGCCUAUUUUUGGCACACGGAGGCCGCCCGCAAAGUCUGGGGCCAUUCCGAGUCCGGCGGACGAACUUCGCCCACGCCCCCCACCAAGGCUAUAGCCCACCCGUUUUUUGGCCAUUUUUCCGCUGGGGGGUCUUGGCGCCCCGACCUUCGGGGGCUGAUUUUUGGGCGCGGGUGUGCCCGUGGCCUAUUUUUGGCACACGGAGGCCGCCCGCAAAGUCUGGGGCCAUUCCGAGUCCGGCGGACGAACUUCGCCCACGCCCCCCACCAAGGCUAUAGCCCACCCGUUUUUUGGCCAUUUUUCCGCUGGGGGGUCUUGGCGCCCCGACCUUCGGGGACUGAUUUUUGGGCGCGGCUGUGCCCGUGGCCUAUUUUUGGCACACGGAGGCCGCCCGCAAAGUCUGGGGCCAUUCCGAGUCCGGCGGACGAACUUCGCCCACGCCCCCCACCAAGGCUAUAGCCCACCCGUUUUUUGGCCAUUUUUCCGCUGGGGGGUCUUGGCGCCCCGACCUUCGGGGGCUGAAUUUUGGGCGCGGGUGUGCCCGUGGCCUAUUUUUGGCACACGGAGGCCGCCCGCAAAGUCUGGGGCCAUUCCGAGUCCGGCGGACGAACUUCGCCCACGCCCCCCACCAAGGCUAUAGCCCACCCGUUUUUUGGCCAUUUUUCCGCUGGGGGGUCUUGGCGCCCCGACCUUCGGGGGCUGAAUUUUGGGCGCGGGUGUGCCCGUGGCCUAUUUUUGGCACACGGAGGCCGCCCGCAAAGUCUGGGGCCAUUCCGAGUCCGGCGGACGAACUUCGCCCACGCCCCCCACCAAGGCUAUAGCCCACCCGUUUUUUGGCCAUUUUUCCGCUGGGGGGUCUUGGCGCCCCGACCUUCGGGGGCUGAUUUUUGGGCGCGGGUGUGCCCGUGGCCUAUUUUUGGCACACGGAGGCCGCCCGCAAAGUCUGGGGCCAUUGCGAGUCCGGCGGACGAACUUCGCCCACCACCCCCACCAAGGCUAUAGCCCACCCGUUUUUUGGCCAUUUUUCCGCUGGGGGGUCUUGGCGCCCCGACCUUCGGGGGCUGAAUUUUGGGCGCGGGUGUGCCCGUGGCCUAUUUUUGGCACACGGAGGCCGCCCGCAAAGUCUGGGGCCAUUCCGAGUCCGGCGGACGAACUUCGCCCACGCCCCCCACCAAGGCUAUAGCCCACCCGUUUUUUGGCCAUUUUUCCGCUGGGGGGUCUUGGCGCCACGACCUUCGGGGGCUUAAUUUUGGGCGCGGGUGUUCCCGUGGCCUAUUUUUGGCACACGGAGGCCGCCCGCAAAGUCUGGGCCAUUCCGAGUCCGGCGGACGAACUUCGCCCACGCCCCCCACCAAGGCUAUAGCCGACCCGUUUUUUGGCCAUUUUUCCGCUGGGGGGUCUUGGCGCCCCGACCUUCGGGGGCUGAAUUUUGGGCGCGGGUGUGCCCGUGGCCUAUUUUUGGCACACGGAGGCCGCCCGCAAAGUCUGGGGCCAUUCCGAGUCCGGCGGACGAACUUCACCCACGCCCCCCACCAAGGCUAUAGGCCACCCGUUUUUUGGACAUUUUUCCGCUGGGGGGUCUUGGCGCCCCGACCUUCGGGGGCUGAAUUUGGGGCGCGGGUGUGCCCGUGGCCUAUUUUUGGCACACGGAGGCCGCCCGCAAAGUCUGGGGCCAUUCCGAGUCCGGCGGACGAACUUCGCCCACGCCCCCC